CGCACACUGCGCCCCUUGGUAUUCCGGGGGGCAUGCCCGUUCGAGCGUCAUUACACCCAUCAAGCCUGGCUUGGUCUUGGGCCACGGGGGCGACCCGGGCCCCAAAAUCGUCGGCUGGAAAGCUCUGAUCUCAGCGUCGUGGUUUAUUCAAAUCGCUGGCGGGAGGGGCGAUCCACGCCGUUAAAACUCAUCUUAGGUUGACCUCGGAUCGGGUAGGAAUACCCGCUGAACUUAA
rnacentral:misc_RNA from 1 species